rnacentral:lncRNA from 1 species
UGUAAUAUGAUCUAAACAUAAACAACAUCUAAUGCUAGGCCAUAUCAAAAGAACUAGAUUAGUGAAUCAGAAGAAUGAGUUCACCAGACAUGUAAUCAUUUCAUAACAACAUGUAAAUAGCAUUGAAUUCUUCAUUUAUAGGUUUCAUGAAGCAUCUUCAUAUCAUUGGCAAUUUGACAGGAAUAAAAACCUUUUACAUGACAUCAUCAUAAUAUUAGAAAGUAUACAUCUAGAAUUGAUCGUGAAAUUAUGCACCGAGGCAUAGCUUUGCAGAAAUUAAGCAGAAAACUUUUUGACAAUCUUUGCAUAACUCCAGCUAAGUAAAAAUUCAGCAAUUUCACAUCAUGUCAUUAUGAUUACAGAAGACAUUCAUCUAGGAUUGACCA